GCAUUGCUGAGGAGUCUCAUAAUGGGACGAAACGGUCGUCCAGUGU
rfam:Schistosoma mansoni strain Puerto Rico chromosome 3, complete genome